UCCCUGCUCUUAAAGGGGCCGCACCAUUCACCACAGCAGCGCCUCUUCUCCCACGUGGGCAUCUCCCCCACCGGAGCUCGGGCGUAGGGAGCCAGCCCGGAGCCCGCGGGGCGAGGCGUCGCUUUCCAACCUCUUGAGGCCAGCCCCUGCCCCCGUGGGGUGGGCACCAGCCCGCCGGGCUGAACGGGCAGCGAAACCAGCCAGCCACCCCCACCUCGCUAAGGCACCGGGACCAGCAGGGAGCGCCCGAGGGGGCAGCUGGCCCUGCCUCGCCGCAGCCCAGCGCCAUGGGCUCACAGGAGGACGGGCCUCUGCUGUGCGCUGAGGGCCAGCCCCGGGCCACCGGCAACCACAGGCCCCCGGGAGCGAGGCCACAAAACGCCCGGUUUAAGUCCACGGGCUCGAACAGGACUGCAGGUUGGAGGCUGAUGGUGAGGCUGCCAAGAGAGGACGCCGAGCGGAGAAGUCCAGCCAGCACCCACUGCCUUUUAAAUGCAUCCAAGGAGCCAGUAGAUGCGCCCUGUGCUACCCUGCCUAGAGACGGGCAUGGACAAGGGAAAAAGAAAGGGGAGGAAGGGGCUAUCCAGCCCAGCCCUCUCCUGUAAGGCGGGGUCAAGGGUACCGCGAUCAGCCCGUGCCACGGAUUGGGCUGCCGGGGCCUGGGGAAGGAGAUUCCACGGACUCUGCUUGGCCUGGGUCAGCACUUCUCCAGAGUAAACGGCUAGGUGGGUUCCCUUCAAAUCCCUGCCUCAACCUUCUUGGCUGCAAAGUACACUGAUUUUUUUCACCCUUCCAGCGGGUGCCUUGGAGAACAGCUGGUCACCACCCCCUUUGUAAUGACCGUUUAGUAUCAGAAACCUUGUCACCCCCACCCCUGAGUCUUUUCUUUUCUGAAGGGAACCUGCCCAGGCCCUGGCCUCCUCAGUCAAAUUUCUACCCCUCCCGUCGUUGGUGCUGUUCACCUCCAGACUCUUCAGCUUGUCUACAGCUGAAAAAGUGUAGCAUCUCAAGCAGGAAGCAACACCCCAGCUGAAGCCUCCUGAGCACUGAAAGGAGUGGAUUAACUACCUGCUUCAUCUUGCAUCUGGCACUCGUGCCAACUCAGCUCAGAAUGAAAAUAUUGGCUCACACUGGGCCCUGAUAAGACCCCCUAUGCAACACCUCUGGGGGUGCCUUUCAGCUGAGCCAUUGCUGCUCCAUGAGACUGAAUUUUUUUCAGCCACUUGUGCAGUAGCUGCAUUAAUGGUUAUGUCUGGACCAGACUUCCUAAGCUGGUUUGUGAAACUGAUUUUGGACAGCAUCAACCUUCUUAAGUCUAAGUACAUCACAUCCACUGCUUCCCAUGUCCGCUAGGCAAGUUUACCUGCUAGAGAAAGAAUCUUUCCAAGGAUUGAAGCUGGGACUGAAUUCUCUGGGUCCUCCUUUUCUUGUUCUUUGAGGAUAGGCACCAUGUUUGACACCUUGGGACUGCUGCUGUUCCGAGAUGAUCACCAGUGGUUCAGAGAUGUCUUUGGCUCCUUGGACCACUCCAGGGGGAGUUUCAUUGGGCCUUGCUGAUCCGAACACAUCCAUCUAACUGUCCUCUAACCUGCUCUAUCUUCUAGCCUGCACUAGUAUCUCCUUGUUAAAGUUAAUUUAAUUAAUCAUUGGGUCACCAUUCACCUUUCUGGGGAAGGUUGAAGCCUUAAGCACUGCAGCCUCUUCUGUUGAAAUCCGUCAUUUGUCCUCUCCCAUUGAGUAACAGGCCCAGACUUCCCUUCAUUGUCCCACUACUGCCUGUGGGAGUCUUUGCUAGCUGAAAUGUUCUGAUCUCAGGCUGCCUGCUUGUGUGGCUCUCUCCUACUCACUGGCAGGAUGGUACCCUACUUUCCUCAUGGUUCCUUUCCAAUUGCUGGGUCACCGAGGGGCUCCUGGAGGAGUUAUAAUGGUCCUUUUCUCUGCUUCUGAUGUGUCCUUUUCAUGGGGUUGUUUGCUCUCACAUACUUAAUACAGUCUCUCAAUUCCU